rnacentral:rRNA from 1 species
AAUCCCGUGAACCAUCGAGUCUUUGAACGCAAGUUGCGCCCCAAGCCUUCUGGCCGAGGGCACGUCUGCCUGGGUGUCACAAAUCGUCGUCCCCAUCCUUUGCGAAUAAGGGACGGAAGUUGGUCUCCCGUGUGUUACCGCACGCGGUUGGCCUAAAUCUGAG